UAUUUUUGAAGGGGGAGAAGAGUGUUUAUAUUGUUAUCCCUCACCAUGCUAUGGGGGGCAGUUUUGGCUAGGAUCUCAGGAUGUGUUGGUUGAACACACUCAGGUGCAGCUCCAGCCUGGCUAAAGUGAGCACCAAAUUUCCACACCUGGAAGGGAGAGCUAAUGGGUUGCAGCAAGUGUUGUUGUUCAUCAUAUUGCCUCACAGACUAUAAGAGAGUCUGUGAGGCCCCAUAUUAAAAUGGUUUCUGUGGGUGCUUCUGAGGCCUGGUGAGGGGCUCUUCUAUUUCAAGGCUAGCGCAACUUGUCUAGGCCUUACUGCACAGUGGUUUCUCUCUCUUGGUGACAAAAUUGUCAGCCAUGUCUUCAAGUAGUAGUGCCGUGAAUCUGAAGGACUCUGUUUUUUAGCCUUGUAGACUGUAAGCACUGCUUGUGCCUAAUAUGUAGCUCUGGUGUGCUGUGGAGAGUCUGCUGCACUGGGGUGCUGCUUGUGGCUUUGGGAUAGAUGCUACUACAGAGGGAGCUAGCAGCCCAAGUUCUCAGAUGCCAUAACAUGGAAUUACCUGGCUUUCAGUAAGCCUCUGUCUCACUGGAGUUUUAUUAACACGUGGCUGCUAUAAAUUCCUGGGUGUGGAGAAAGGAAGAAGCUUCUUUUUUGACCCCAAAGCCUCACUUUCACAGCCUCAAAGAAAUAAUACAGAAGUGCUUUUGUGUUGAAACCCAUGUGCGGCCUGCAAUGCCUUCAUGUGCAUGUGUUUCUCACAGGCUCCUUGCAGGAUGUGGUGGUCCUUUAAGUCCUCUGCUAAAGAAGGACAUCUAUAUAUGGAGAAACCCAUUGCAUUACUACUGGAAGAUGAGAGAAGCAGACAACAAAUUGUAUUGGUGCCCAAGUGAUGAAGGUUUCAAGAAAUUCCAAAAGUUAAAUUCUUCCAACUUUCUGAAAGCUGUCUUUCAUGAUAUGAAUCAUCAAACAGACAAGAGUGGGGACAGAAAAUGUAAUUUUUUCCUUGCAAGAAAAAGGCAGUGCUCACCAUGAUCUGCCCAUUCAUUCAAGCAUCGUUCUUUUCUUUUCUGGUUCUUGAGUUUGUCUUUUGUGUGAAACUUGGAUGUAAUGACAUUAGUCUCCUGUACAUGCACAUGUUUUAAUCUUUUUGUCUAUAAUGUGUACUGAUAGCUCAGUUAAAUGACUUUGAUUGAGAAAUUACAAUGAACUGUGUAACAAGGUCACUUCUAGCUUGACCUUGUCAUGACAUCUGCUCAAAAUAGUAAGAUAACUAUUUCUCGUGUGGAUUGAGAAGCAAUUUUAUGUUCAUCACUCUAAUGAAGUCACUAGACUGGAAAGGCUGUUCUAAGUUAAAUCUAGAACCCCUAUUGUUACUGACAUCCACAUUAAAUAUUGUAAGUGUUAAUGUAAAACAAAUGCAUGCUAUAAAUAAUUCACAAGUAAAUGUCAGCUAUUCAGGCAAGCCUGAACGCAGGUUUUAUAGUGAAUAAAUGUUGGAUACAUCUAGCA
rnacentral:lncRNA from 1 species